UACGUAGGGGGCAAGCGUUGUCCGGAAUUAUUGGGCGUAAAGAGCGUGUAGGCGGCCAGAUAAGUCCGCUGUGAAAUCUCGAGGCUCAACUUCGAGCUGUCGGUGGAAACUAUCUGGCUAGAGUCCGGAAGAGGAGAAUGGAAUUCCUGGUGUAGCGGUGAAAUGCGCAGAUAUCAGGAAGAACACCCGUGGCGAAAGCGGCUCUCUGGAACGGUACUGACGCUGAGACGCGAAAGCGUGGGGAGCGAACAGG
rnacentral:rRNA from 1 species